rnacentral:rRNA from 1 species
UUUUAAACUUCUACACCUAAAAAUUAUCUUAAUCCAACAUCGAGGUCGCAAUCUCUUUUAUCGAUAUGUUCUCUUUAAAAAUAUUACGCUGUUAUCCCUUAAGUAACUUAAUCUUUUAAUCAUUAUAUAAUGGAUCAACUCAUUUAUCAAUGAAUAAAAGUUUAUUAAAUUUUCUUAUCACCCCAAUAAAAUAUUAUAUAAAGCUUUAAAGGGUCUUCUCGUCCUUUAAUAAAAUUUAAGCUUUUUAACUUAAAAAUUAAAUUCAAAAACAUUUAAAAUAAGACAGUUAAUAUUUCAUCCAAUCAUUCAUACCAGCUCCUAAUUAAGAAACUAUUGAUUAUGCUACCUUUGCACAGUCAAAAUACUGCGGCCUUUU